AUUGAACGCUGGCGGCAUGCCUUACACAUGCAAGUCGAACGGCAGCACGGGGCAACCUGGUGGCGAGUGGCGAACGGGUGAGUAAUGCAUCGGAACGUACCUUUCAGUGGGGGAUAACGUAGCGAAAGUUACGCUAAUACCGCAUAUUCUGUGAGCAAGAAAGCAGGGGAUCGCAAGACCUUGCGCUGAUUGAGGGGCCGAAGUCAGAUUAGCUCGUUGGUGAGGUAAAGGCUCACCAAGGCGACGAUCUGUAGCGGGUCUGAGAGGAUGCUCCGCCACACUGGAACUGAGACACGGUCCAGACUCCUACGGGAGGCAGCAGUGGGGAAUUUUGGACAAUGGGGGCAACCCUGAUCCAGCCAUGCCGCGUGAGUGAAGAAGGCCUUCGGGUUGUAAAGCUCUUUCGGCCGGGAAGAAAUCGCACGGGCUAAUACCCUGUGUGGAUGACGGUACCGGAAUAAGAAGCACCGGCUAACUACGUGCCAGCCGCCGCCGUAAAAC
rnacentral:rRNA from 1 species